rnacentral:misc_RNA from 1 species
UUUAAUUUUACUAUAUGAAGAGCAUCGCGCCAAAUUUCAAUCCAUAGUUUCUAAAUUGACAAGUUAUGAAACUCCAAUUUUUUCAAUUCCAACAUUUUUUUUUAAAAAUUUAUUAGAAAUAUGUAAUAUAAUAAAUAAAAUGACAUCGUUGCAAGUAUUAAAAUUAACACAAGCAUAUGAACAACCACAAACAGUAUAAUAAUGCAUACAAAUAUGUAUAUUCAUUAUGAAUUUGAAUUUAAAAUGUUAUAAUAAUAAUUUACAUAUAAAAUGGCAACUGCACCUAUAACAGAUAAUUCUCCAAAAUCCUUAUUAAAACUCGUGGAAGAUAAAAAUGACAAAUCAGAAAAAAAAUUAACCAUUCUUGAAUCACAUGGAUACACUCUUGGUAAAACAAUAGGUGCCGGUUCAUAUGCUACUGUAAAAAUAGCAAAAUCUGAUCGACAUGAUUGUCAAGUAGCAGUAAAAAUUGUUUCAAAAUUUCAAGCACCUGGUGAUUAUUUAAAAAAAUUUUUACCCCGUGAAAUUGAAGUUGUUAAAGGUUUAAAACAUCCAAAUUUAAUUCGUUUUCUCCAAGCGAUCGAAACAACUCAUCGCGUUUAUAUUAUUAUGGAAUAUGCUCAAUGCGGUAGUUUGUUGGACAUAAUAAGACGUGAUACAUUUAUCGAUGAAUUUCGUAGUCGUCGAUGGUUUCGGCAAUUAUUAGAGGCUAUUGAUUACUGCCAUGGACGUGGUGUAGUACAUAGAGACAUCAAAUGUGAAAAUCUUUUGAUGGAUCAGAAUUUUAAUAUUAAGUUAUCUGAUUUUGGAUUUGCACGUGGACAAAUGAAACCAAAAAAUGGCACUAAUCCAUUAAGUGAAACUUUCUGUGGUAGUUAUGCUUAUGCAUCACCAGAAAUAUUAAAAGGUGUUCCAUAUUUACCUCAACUAUCUGAUAUAUGGUCCAUGGGCGUAGUUCUCUAUGCAAUGGUUUAUGGUCGACUACCAUUUGAUGAUACAAAUUACAGUCAACUACUAAAGGUACCCAGCAAGUACAAAAUAAAGUUGUAUUUCCUAAAGAACCAAAUGUAUCUCAAGCUUGUCGUUCACUUAUCUCACGAAUACUUGUUCCACAACGAAUACGGAUGAAUAUUGAUAAUAUAAGAAAUGAUACGUGGCUUGCUGAAUCUCUUGUUACAGUUGAAACUUCUACUACUGAUAUCCCAAUGGAUACUUCUACAUUACGAAACGUAAAAAAAAUGACGAAUGAAAGAAAUAAAGAAACAAAAAAUACGACUGAUAUUGGAGCACAAAUUAUUGAUAAACAUUUAACAUAAACAUUCCAGAUGAAAACCAUAGAUAUCCAAAUUUGAAAUAGGUUCCUAUUUUAUCUUCAAACAAUAUUUUUUCUGAUUUUUCAUAUUUCAUUUAACAUUAAAGUUAUCACAGUAUUAUGGCACAUUUAUUUAUAUUUGUUCUUUAGUUCAUUUUUUACUUAUAAAUAAUAUUACUUUUACAAAGU